rnacentral:snRNA from 1 species
GGAUGUGAGGGCAAUCUGGCUGUGACAUCUGUCACCCCAUUGAUCACCAGGGCCUGGCCUGGCUGGCUAGAUGGUUGUCCCCUUCCUCCCUCACCGCUCCAUGUGCGUCCCUCGUGAAGCUGUGUGCUCAGUGGAAUCCCAUCCUCGAUAGGCGUACUGUGUUUCAGUCAAGGGUAUACAAGUAGCUGUACUCCCCUGCUAGAACAAGCUCCCAAGGUCCAAAAUAUAUAUAUAGAUUAAUAUAGGUUAAUUGAUCUUUAAUGACUAAAGGGGCAUUCAGGAUUGUAUUCUCU